rnacentral:rRNA from 1 species
UACGUAGGGUGCGAGCGUUGUCCGGAAUUAUUGGGCGUAAAGGGCUCGUAGGCGGUUUGUCGCGUUGUUCGUGAAAACUCACAGCUUAACUGUGGGCGUGCGGGCGAUACGGGCAGACUGGAGUACUGCAGGGGAGACUGGAAUUCCUGGUGUAGCGGUGGAAUGCGCAGAGUAUCAGGAGGAACACCGGUGGCGAAGGCGGGGUCUCUGGGCAGUAACUGACGCUGAGGAGCGAAAGCGUGGGGAGCGAACAGG